rnacentral:pre_miRNA from 1 species
GUAGUAUUCCCUCCGUCCCAAAAUUCUUGUCUUACAUUUGUUUGGAUACAGAUGUAUCUAACACUAAAACGUAACUAGAUACAUCCGUAUUUAGACAAAUUUAAGACAAUAAUUUUGGGACGGAGGUAGUACAAA